rnacentral:rRNA from 1 species
UUGGGCGUAAAGAGCUUGUAGGUGGUUUGUCGCGUCUGCUGUGAAAAUCCGAGGCUCAACCUCGGACUUGCAGUGGGUACGGGCAGACUAGAGUGUGGUAGGGGAGACUGGAAUUCCUGGUGUAGCGGUGGAAUGCGCAGAUAUCAGGAGGAACACCGAUGGCGAAGGCAGGUCUCUGGGCCAUUACUGACACUGAGAAGCGAAAGCAUGGGGAGCGAACAGGAUUAGAUACCCUGGUAGUCCAUGCCGUAAACGUUGGGAACUAGGUGUGGGUCUCAUUCCACGAGAUCCGUGCCGCAGCUAACGCAUUAAGUUCCCCGCCUGGGGAGUACGGCCGCAAGGCUAAAACUCAAAGGAAUUGACGGGGGCCCGCACAAGCGGCGGAGCAUGCGGAUUAAUUCGAUGCAACGCGAAGAACCUUACCAAGGCUUGACAUACACCGGAAUCACUCAGAGAUGGGUGCGUCUUCGGACUGGUGUACAGGUGGUGCAUGGUUGUCGUCAGCUCGUGUCGUGAGAUGUUGGGUUAAGUCCCGCAACGAGCGCAACCCUCGUUCUAUGUUGCCAGCACGUCAUGGUGGGGACUCAUAGGAGACUGCCGGGGUCAACUCGGAGGAAGGUGGGGAUGA